GUCCCUGACCCCUGCUUCCCUUCAGAGUGACUUGGCCCCACCCCACCCCUUCCCUGAAGGCCGGGCCGGCCAUGGUCCCCCUCCAGGAAGCGGGCAGCUGGGCAGGGAGCACCCCAGCCUGCCAGGCCCCUUCCCUGCCCACCUCCCCACCAUCCAACGGCCCUCCUUCCUCUCGGCCCCAGCACCCAGGGCGCGGCCCACGGCAGGGCUCGGACACUUGGCCAAGCCAGGCUCCUGGCCCAGCCGUCCCCUCACAACCGGAAGAGCGGCAGGUCGCGGUUCCCAGAGUAUGAAAUGUCAGCCUCCGGCGGCGGGCGGCAAGGACACUGGACCAGCAGUGCUAAAAAUAGACUCGAGGACUGAGUGUCCAGCCCCGGGAGGCGCUGGGCCCAGGCGAGCCAGGGGCGUCCAGCCUGGGCUGGCCCCUUUCUCUUUCUUUACAGAUAAAAUGGAAGGAAGCUGACAGGUCAGCCCCGAGGACUCGCCGUCUUAGACGUGGAACUCAGUGGGACCGCAGACAGAGCCCGUCUGCAGGGACCUCUGACCACGCGCAAGUCCCUGGGGUCUGGCAGUACAGCCUGCGGUGCCCCCUGUCCGCCCCCUCCCCAGGGACUGGCCCUGCAGCCUGCCGAGGCUGGCACCGCCCAGAGCUUGUGCCACGACGGAGAAGCUUUGUACCUGCUACGUCCACUCCAGUACCCACCAGCCACGUGCAGCCAGAGGGCGUUUGAAGAGCGACACCGCGAUCGGCGCCCGCGGUACGCGCUCUUUCGUGUUAACAGAUUUAGACUGAAAUGGCCAUAUCUGAAUGGUGGCUAGUGGCUACUGGUGUUGGACAGCUUCACGUCCGGCCCAGGGGGAGAGAGCAGCGACGGACUGACAGCCUCUGCCACACUUGGGGUGAGACGGGCAAACCUGAAGGCCACGCUCCUCAGUGACCAGGGGACGGGUGGCAUCCCAGGACCUGAGGCCUAAUCAGUGACCCUGGGUCCGCCCAGUCUCAGCGUUUAGGAGAAAGCGUGUCUGUGCAGUUUAAGGGGAGUCCCUGCUGUCCAGGCUCAUGGCCUUGGCUCAGCAACCAGAGAGCGUCCAAAACCCCACACCAGCCCAGCCACCAGGGCCUCCUCUCCGCCCGGCCUCCCUGGCCUCAUCCACUUCACUCUGCCCUCCACUCCAGGGUGGACCCUGCCCCACCCCUGGAGGCCCUGAAAGCAAGGGCCACCUCUGACUCCAUUUCGGCAUCCCCCACCCAAAGCCAGCCCCCGCCGGCCCCCGGGGAAGCCCAUGUGAUUCCAGUGUGUAUCUUCCCACCGUGGCCACCAUGAUGAGACAGAUGCCAUUGUCACGCCAGUUCCCAGGUGAGGACUGAGACGCAGAGGGGCGGGGAGUGGGGAGCUUUGGCCAAGGGCAGAAAAGAAAAUGGCAGGUGUGAGACUCGGAUCUGGGAAUAUGUCCCUCCCAGGACUUGUUCAGCCAAUGGAAGUCAAGUCCACUGUGUCCUUCAUUGCAAACUCAAUAAAUGUUAGGUGACAGAUGGAAAA